rnacentral:rRNA from 1 species
GACGAACGCUGGCGGUGUGCUUAAUACAUGCAAGUCGAACGGCCCUUCGGGGCAGUGGCGGACGGCUGAGUAACACGUAGGUAACCUGCCCUAUACUGGGGGAUAACGUCCCGAAAGGGACGCUAAUACCGCAUAAGCCUGAGGUUGAAAUACCUUUGGUUAAAGAUUCAUCGGUAUGGGAUGAGCCUGCGUCUGAUUAGCUUGUUGGUAGGGUAAAGGCCUACCAAGGCGAUGAUCAGUAGUUGGUCUGAGAGGAUGACCAGCCAGAGUGGGACUGAGACACGGCCCACACUUCUACGGAAGGCAGCAGUAGGGAAUUUUGCGCAAUGGGCGAAAGCCUGACGCAGCAACACCGCGUGGAGGAUGAAGGUUCUCGGAUUGUAAACUCCUGUCAGCAGGGAAUAAAUUGACUGUACCUGCAGAGGAAGCACCGGCUAACUACGUGCCAGCAGCCGCGGUAAGACGUAAGGUGCAAGCGUUGUCCGGAUUUAUUGGGCGUAAAGAGUUCGUAGGCGGUUUGUUAAGUCUGGUGUUAAAACCGGGGCUCAACUCCC